rnacentral:rRNA from 1 species
UAGUCGGGUCCUAAGCUGAGGCCGACAGGCGUAGGCGAUGGAUAACAGGUUGAUAUUCCUGUACCACCUAUAAUCGUUUUAAUCGAUGGGGGGACGCAGUAGGAUAGGCGAAGCGUGCGAUUGGAUUGCACGUCUAAGCAGUAAGGCUGAGUAUUAGGCAAAUCCGGUACUCGUUAAGGCUGAGCUGUGAUGGGGAGAAGACAUUGUGUCUUCGAGUCGUUGAUUUCACACUGCCGAGAAAAGCCUCUAGAUAGAAAAUAGGUGCCCGUACCGCAAACCGACACAGGUAGUCAAGAUGAGAAUUCUAAGGUGAGCGAGCGAACUCUCGUUAAGGAACUCGGCAAAAUGACCCCGUAACUUCGGGAGAAGGGGUGCUCUUUAGGGUUAACGCCCAGAAGAGCCGCAGUGAAUAGGCCCAAGCGACUGUUUAUCAAAAACACAGGUCUCUGCUAAACCGUAAGGUGAUGUAUAGGGGCUGACGCCUGCCCGGUGCUGGAAGGUUAAGAGGAGUGGUUAGCUUCUGCGAAGCUACGAAUCGAAGCCCCAGUAAACGGCGGCCGUAACUAUAACGGUCCUAAGGUAGCGAAAUUCCUUGUCGGGUAAGUUCCGACCCGCACGAAAGGCGUAACGAUUUGGGCACUGUCUCAACGAGAGACUCGGUGAAAUCAUAGUACCUGUGAAGAUGCAGGUUACCCGCGACAGGACGGAAAGACCCCGUGGAGCUUUACUGUAGCCUGAUAUUGAAAUUCGGCACAGCUUGUACAGGAUAGGUAGGAGCCUUUGAAACGUGAGCGCUAGCUUACGUGGAGGCGCUGGUGGGAUACUACCCUAGCUGUGUUGGCUUUCUAACCCGCACCACUUAUCGUGGUGGGAGACAGUGUCAGGCGGGCAGUUUGACUGGGGCGGUCGCCUCCUAAAAGGUAACGGAGGCGCUCAAAGGUUCCCUCAGAAUGGUUGGAAAUCAUUCAUAGAGUGUAAAGGCAUAAGGGAGCUUGACUGCGAGACCUACAAGUCGAGCAGGGUCGAAAGACGGACUUAGUGAUCCGGUGGUUCCGCAUGGAAGGGCCAUCGCUCAACGGAUAAAAGCUACCCCGGGGAUAACAGGCUUAUCUCCCCCAAGAGUUCACAUCGACGGGGAGGUUUGGCACCUCGAUGUCGGCUCAUCGCAUCCUGGGGCUGUAGUCGGUCCCAAGGGUUGGGCUGUUCGCCCAUUAAAGCGGUACGCGAGCUGGGUUCAGAACGUCGUGAGACAGUUCGGUCCCUAUCCGUCGUGGGCGUAGGAAAUUUGAGAGGAGCUGUCCUUAGUACGAGAGGACCGGGAUGGACAUACCUCUGGUGUACCAGUUGUCGUGCCAACGGCAUAGCUGGGUAGCUAUGUGUGGACGGGAUAAGUGCUGAAAGCAUCUAAGCAUGAAGC